rnacentral:rRNA from 1 species
GAUCGCAGGCUGCAACUCGCCUGCGUGAAGUCGGAAUUGCUAGUAAUCGCAGAUCAGCAUGCUGCGGUGAAUACGUUCCCGGGCCCUUGUACACACCGCCCGUCACACCAUGGGAGUCGGAAAUGCCCGAAGUCUGUGACCCAACCUUAGGGAGGGAGCAGCCGAAGGCAGGUCGGAUGACUGGGGUGAAGUCGUAACAAGGUAUC